CUACGUGCCAGCAGCCGCGGUAAUACGUAUGUCACAAGCGUUAUCCGGAUUUAUUGGGCGUAAAGCGCGUCUAGGUGGUUAUGUAAGUCUGAUGUGAAAAUGCAGGGCUCAACUCUGUAUUGCGUUGGAAACUGCAUGACUAGAGUACUGGAGAGGUAAGCGGAACUACAAGUGUAGAGGUGAAAUUCGUAGAUAUUUGUAGGAAUGCCGAUGGGGAAGCCAGCUUACUGGACAGAUACUGACGCUAAAGCGCGAAGGCGUGGGUAGCAAACAGGAUUAGAUACCCUGGUAGUCCACGCCGUAAACGAUGAUUACUAGGUGUUGGGGGUCGAACCUCAGCGCCCAAGCUAACGCGAUAAGUAAUCCGCCUGGGGAGUACGUACGCAAGUAUGAAACUCAAAGGAAUUGACGGGGACCCGCACAAGCGGUGGAGCAUGUGGUUUAAUUCGACGCAACGCGAGGAACCUUACCAGCGUUUGACAUC
rnacentral:rRNA from 1 species